UUCAGUCUGGAUACUGUUAAUAAUACUAUUUCGUCAAUACCUAAGACUAAUUUUGUAUCAGCAAUACCUACAAUCAGUGACCAAAAUUCACUACCAGCACCUGAUACUGAACUCUCUCUCUCACUGUCGUCAAAAAACAACAGUGUACCAAUGCCUGCCAGCUGCAGUUCUGGGGCUCCAAAUUUUGGCUAUUCUGGAUUCCCCAAUGAGAAGCCAGCAGGACAGUGGGUACCUGAAGAUAAAAAAGAUGAAAGCAUUAUGAAGCUGGCUCCAAGGGUGCGUGAAUUACAAAAUCGGAUGCAGGAAUGGACAGAAUGGGCUGAUCAGAAGGUUAUGCAGGCUGCUCGUAGAUUGAGCAAAGAUAAGGCUGAACUUAAGACACUUAAACAAGAGAAAGAAGAAGUGGAGCGCCUUAAGAAGGAGAAGCAAAGUUUGGAGGAGAACACAAUGAAAAAACUAUGCGAGAUGGAAAAUGCUUUAUGCAAGGCAAGUGGGCAGUUGGAGCGGGCUAAUGCUGCUGUCCGUAGGCUGGAGGUGGAGAAUUCAACAUUGAGACAAGAGAUGGAGGCUGCAAAAUAACAAGCAGCACAGUCCCUUAGCAUGCAUAUUGUUGUUGUAUGAGAAGGAAACUGCAGGCUCUGCUGAAAAACCAUUUACUGCUGUCGGACCAACCCAUUCUUCGGCUUCUGAAGAAAAGUUCAUUGGAAGCAGAAAGAUCUCUGGUAUAACUAAAAGAGAGUACAUACUUCGGCAUAAGUCGAUUCAACUGGAGAAAAGCUAUCGUACUUGUGGAUCCAAAGGUGGCUCUAGGGCAGGAAAACUCAGUAGUUUUGGUGGUUUAGUUUAGGAUAAAAAAGUAAAGUCUGUGGCAGAUUCUACAGGUCUAAGUGUAAGAAAUGCCACCUUAAAGAUUAGCAAGGAAAUGGGAACCUGUUUGCCUCAGGACACCUUGCACAAUGAUCUUUUGAAUACAAAUGGUCUGCCUCCUACAUUCAGUCUGGAUACUGUUAAUAAUACUAUUUCGUCAAUACCUAAGACUAAUUUUGUAUCAGCAAUACCUACAAUCAGUGACCAAAAUUCACUACCAGCACCUGAUACUGAACUCUCUCUCUCACUGUCGUCAAAAAACAACAGUGUACCAAUGCCUGCCAGCUGCAGUUCUGGGGCUCCAAAUUUUGGCUAUUCUGGAUUCCCCAAUGAGAAGCCA
rnacentral:lncRNA from 1 species